rnacentral:rRNA from 1 species
GGCGAACGGGUGAGGAACACGUGAGGAAUCUGCCUUCAACACUGGGAUAACUCCGGGAAACCGGGGCUAAUACCGGAUACGAGGCCUGCAGGCAUCUGCGGGCAUCCGCGGAUUUGGAAAGUUUUUCGGUUGAAGAUGACCUCGCGGCCUAUCAGCUUGUUGGUGAGGUAAUGGCUCACCAAGGCGACGACGGGUAGCCGGCCUGAGAGGGCGACCGGCCACACUGGGACUGAGACACGGCCCAGACUCC